UAGUGAAAAUACAACUGAAGGGCUUGGGA
rnacentral:piRNA from 1 species